rnacentral:rRNA from 1 species
UACGUAGGCAGCGAGCGUUGUUCGGAGUUACUGGGCGUAAAGAGUGGGUAGGCGGCGCUCCAAGUUUGGUGUGAAAUCUCCCGGCUUAACUGGGAGGGUGCGCCGAAAACUGGGGUGCUAGAGUGCGGGAGAGGUAAGCGGAAUUCCUGGUGUAGCGAUGAAAUGCGUAGAUAUCAGGAGGAACACCGGCGGUGUAGACGGCUUACUGGACCGUGACUGACGCUGAGGCACGAAAGCGUGGGUAGCAAACAGG